ACCACCACGUCCGGCUAAUUUUUGUAUUUUUAGUAGAGACGGGGUUUCGCCAUGUUGGCCAGGCUGGUCUCGAACUCCUGGCCUCAGGUGAUCCACCCGCCUCAGCCUCCCAAAGUGCUGGGAUUACAGGCGUGAGCCACUGCGCCUGGCCAGUAGUUUAGUUCUAUACUUGAAUUGAUGGAUUGCAUUCUAUCUUGUAAAAUUUGAAUAAAAAGUAAAUACAGUGUUUACCAGUGAAGUUAUUUACUCAUUACAUAUUGAUAUAAUUGAUAAUCACUACAUAUUUUAUCAUAUUGAAUUCAAGACACUGUGAUAACAGAUUUUUUUGAAGCAAAAUCCUGUUUUAAGUCUUUGGAUAUAGUACUUUUGCUGACCACUCUUGCAUUUGUCUCUCCAACAUUAUUCCCCACCUCAUUCCCAUUAUGAAACAGUUCACUGUUUGGAGAGCUGGGCCCCACCUCCGGCUCCGAGAUCAAUCCUGAUUGGGUGAAACUAAUCUGAGUAACCCCUCCUUCACAGGGGUUUGUCAGAUAACCCAGGCUUGAGCCAAUCACCGUUCUCUGGGACACAGAUUGGACUGAGUUAUCUUGUAACUGUCAUACUCCAGAUUUAUGUGGGAGCAGGAACUCCUUUGGACCUUAAGGAGGAAGCACGUGGCUGCUUUUACCUGCUGGCAGUUAUCUUGUGUUCUUGAAGGAAGCAGGCCUGAGGAGGACUCCUCAUACAGAGAGAAACACCGAGAGAUUCACUGAAAAACUGACAUGGGAUCCUGAGGGGCCACUCUUGAAGACUUAUCUCUGCACCUUUCUGGGCACUGUGCAUACAGCAAUGAUCAGCAUGAUUCCAGUGCUCAGAGAGCUCCAAGGAUUAGUUGAGACCAGACAAGAAUAUCAAGGAGGCAUGCAGAAGUUACAAUGGGAAAUCAAAAAGAAGACAAAGGAGGGACACCUAAUUCAGAACGAUGGGUUUGUUGGAUAGGAGAGAAAAGGAGACGAAUGGGCAGUCUCUACUGCUGUCUCAAGAGGAUGCUUUGAACUGUUGAUUGGGUAAUGUUUUAACAUAAACGGAACUCUCCACUCCACCGAAAAAGAAAGAAGAGGAAGAAACAGAUUUAUCUGAACAGACUGAGAAGAAAAUUGGAGGUGAAAAGUUGAGUGACUGGGGAGGAUUAAGAGAGGCCCAUCGAGUUGUUUGUUUGCGGAGAUGAGUUAGCAGUAGUAUAAACUUUAAGAAAGAAGAGAUCUGGCCGGGCGCAGUGGCUCAUGCCUGUAAUCCCAGCACUUUGGGAGGCUGAGGCUGGCGGAUCACUGAGGUCAGGGGUUCAAGACCAGCCUGGCCAACACGGUGAAACCCCGUCUCUACUAAAAAUACAACAAUUAGCUUGGUGUGGUGGCGCAGGCCUAUAAUCCCAGCUACUCUGGAGGCUGAGGCAGGAGAAUCGCUUGGACCUGGGAGGUGGAGGUCGCAGUGAGCCGAGAUUGCACCACUGCACUCUAGCCUGGACUACAGAGACUCUGUCAAAAAAACAAAAAAACAAAAAAAAGAGAGAGAGAUCUGAAGUAUUUGCUCUCAGAACAUAGGGGGACUUUGGAGAGUUAAAUGGGUGAAGAUCUUUAGGAUGUUUUGCUAAGCCCCCUCCUUACGUCCUCAGUGGCCAGCUUUAGUUACUUUGUUAAAGUUUUAUGGUUGGCAGAUUUACGUUUCUUCAGAGUUUGACACUAGGUUGAGGUUGGCCAUGAACUAAUACAAUUAUAUUUCAGUUACACGAUUCUUUGCCCUCCUUGAGUGUCCCCACCCUCAUAUAUGUUAACUCUGACAUCUGCCCGAAAUUCAUUCAUCUAAUAAAUAUUUGAGUGGCCUCCCCUCUUUCCGAUUGCUGGACAGCCCAUCAUUUUCCAAAGUCAGCACCUAAACUCUUCUAUGACUUUCCUGACAACUCAACACUAAAAUUCGUCCCUCCCUUUUUUGUGUGCAACCCACCUCCCCGCCUCCGCUUUUAAUUGUUUGGCCUUCAUUCCUCUUCUACAG
rnacentral:lncRNA from 1 species